UACGAAGGGGGCUAGCGUUGUUCAGAAUUACUGGGCGUAAAGAGUGUGUAGGCGGUGCUCUAAGUUCGGUGUGAAAUCUCCCGGCUUAACUGGGAGGGUGCGCCGGAAACUGGAGUGCUCGAGCGUGGGAGAGGAAAGCGGAAUUCCUGGUGUAGCGGUGAAAUGCGUAGAUAUCAGGAGGAACACCUGCGGUGUAGACGGCUUUCUGGACCAUUGCUGACGCUGAGACACGAAAGCGUGGGUAGCAAACAGG
rnacentral:rRNA from 1 species